rnacentral:rRNA from 1 species
AUUGAACGCUGGCGGCAUGCCUUACACAUGCCAGUCGAACGGCAGCACGGGUGCUUGCACCUGGUGGCGAGUGGCGAACGGGUGAGUAAUACAUCGGAACAUGUCCUGUAGUGGGGGAUAGCCCGGCGAAAGCCGGAUUAAUACCGCAUACGAUCUACGGAUGAAAGCGAGGGACCUUCGGGCCUCGCGCUAUAGGGUUGGCCGAUGGCUGAUUAGCUAGUUGGUGGGGUAAAGGCCUACCAAGGCGACGAUCAGUAGCUGGUCUGAGAGGACGACCAGCCACACUGGGACUGAGACACGGCCCAGACUCCUACGGGAGGCAGCAGUGGGGAAUUUUGGACAAUGGGCGAAAGCCUGAUCCAGCAAUGCCGCGUGUGUGAAGAAGGCCUUCGGGUUGUAAAGCACUUUUGUCCGGAAAGAAAUCCUUGGCCCUAAUACGGUCGGGGGAUGACGGUACCGGAAGAAUAAGCACCGGCUAACUACGUG